GGUAGAGACAUGUGAAAACGAGUAUGUGCAGUCCGAUCGUGUAGAAGAAUGCGAAUGUUCUUGCGUAUCUGCAAGGAUCCAUAACGUAGAAACCCAAGUACGACGACAAAGAAGAAGAGCACACGACAGAAAGGGGAAGGGGAAUGUAGAAGACACACAUACUUUCUUCGACCCACGGGAAACAACUUUCUCGUGGUUAUAGUCCUGCACAUAACGGAUUUUUCCAUAGAGUUUGACGUUGUCAGCUUUGGUCUUUUCAAGUUCAUCUGUUAACAAACCUAUCUUCUCCUUUAAGUGCCUUAGUUCCUGAGA